CACCUUAUUACAUUUUAUUUUUUCUUUAUAUACUUCUCUUGCCUUCAACCUUCUAACUUUCUCAAGAAUUUGGAAAAACGAAGGCAAACCCGAGGAGAAUAUGUCAAGGAAUUUGAAGGUCAUAGCGGUCGUGUUCGUGUUCGUGUUGCUAUUGACAAGCUCUUGCUUGAUUACCAAUGGGAAAGUUGAAGAGAAUCAAAAGGUUCCUGAUGAGAAUAAUGGAAAUGAAGGCAAAGGGAGAAGAUUCCCAGAUGAACAAAGUCCUCAUCGUGAGUGCACUAGGCAAGAUUAUAAGUGUUGGAAACAAGGACUAAAUUAAUUGACUACUUGUAUGAUGAUAUGUGUGCUUGUGUAUAAAUAAGUUAUGGUGUGGUUGUAAUCCUUGUCUUGAAAGCUAUGAACAAUAUAAUAUGAAUGUUUGAGUGUUGUAA